CAAUACAAAUUUAUUUUCCCACAGUUCUGAAGGCUGGAAGUCCAAGAUCAAGGUGCUGGCAGGAUUGGUUUCUCCUGAGGUCUCUCUCCUUGGCUUGUAGAGGCCACUUUCUUGCCGUGUUCUCACGUGACUCUU
rnacentral:miRNA from 1 species